AUGGGCGGCCCGGCGGCGCGGAGGGGCGCCGGGGGGCUCCGCGCGCUGCUCCUGGCGCUGCUGGCCGCGGGGACCCCCGCGGGCGCCUACAACCUGGACCCGCAGCGCCCCGUGCGCUUCCAGGGCCCCGCCGGUUCCUUCUUCGGCUACGCGGUGCUGGAGCACUUCCACGACAACACGCGCUGGGUCCUUGUGGGCGCACCAAAGGCAGAGUCCAAGUACAGCACUUCAGUGAAGUCCCCCGGGGCUGUGUUUAAGUGCCGCGUCCACACCAACCCUGACCGGAGAUGCACCGAAUUAGACAUGGCUCGAGGGAAGAAUCGGGGCAUGUCGUGUGGAAAGACCUGCCGGGAAGACAGGGAUGACGAGUGGAUGGGGGUGAGCCUGGCCCGGCAGCCCAAGGCUGAUGGCCGUGUGCUGGCCUGUGCCCACCGCUGGAAGAACAUCUACUAUGAAACAGACCACAUCCUGCCCCAUGGCUUCUGUUACAUCAUCCCGUCCAACCUCCAGGCCAAAGGCAGGACGCUGAUCCCCUGCUAUGAAGAGUAUAAGAAGAAGUACGGAGAGGAACACGGCUCCUGCCAGGCUGGGAUAGCAGGCUUCUUCACCGAGGAGCUGGUGGUGAUGGGUGCCCCGGGGUCAUUUUAUUGGGCCGGGACGGUCAAGGUGCUGAACCUUACGGACAACACCUAUUUCAAGCUGAACGACGAAGCGAUCAUGAACAGGCGGUACACGUACCUGGGCUACGCAGUGACUGCCGGCUCCUUCUCUCGCCCGUCCACCACCGACGUGGUGGGAGGUGCCCCCCAGGACGAAGGCGUCGGGAAGGUUUAUAUUUUUAGAGCUGAUCAAAGAUCGGGCACCUUGAUUAAGAUUUUUCAGGCAUCAGGUAAAAAGAUGGGCUCUUACUUCGGCUCCUCCUUAUGUGCAGUUGACCUGAACGCGGACGGCCUCUCUGACCUGCUGGUGGGGGCCCCCAUGUUCUCUGAGAUCAGGGACGAGGGGCAGGUCACUGUCUACAUCAACAGAGGAAAUGGAGCCCUCGAGGAGCAGCUGGCCCUCAGCGGCGAUGGCACCUACAACGCACACUUUGGGGAGAGCAUCGCCAGCCUGGGCGACCUUGAUGACGAUGGCUUCCCGGAUGUGGCCAUUGGUGCACCCAAGGAGGAUGACUUCUCGGGGGCCGUCUACAUCUAUCACGGCGAUGCUAGUGGGAUCGUCCCUCAGUACUCAAUGAAACUGUCGGGGCAGAAGAUAAGUCCGGUUCUGGGGAUGUUUGGUCAGUCCAUAUCAGGAGGCAUUGAUAUGGAUGGAAAUGGCUAUCCUGAUGUGACUGUUGGAGCCUUCAUGUCCGACAGUGUAGUUCUUCUAAGGGCGAGACCCGUCAUCACGGUGGAUGUCUCCAUCUUCCUCCCGGCCUCCAUCAACAUCACGGCGCCUCAGUGUCACGAUGGGCUGCAGCCUGUGAACUGCCUGAAUGUCACCGCCUGCUUUAGCUUCCACGGCAAGCAUGUUCCAGGAGAAAUUGGCCUCAAUUACGUUCUGACGGCUGAUGUGGCCAAAAAGGCAAAGGGCCAGUUGCCCAGGGUCUACUUUGUGUUGCUGGGCGAGCCCGUGGGUCAGGUCACAGAGAAGCUGCAGCUGGUCCACAUGGAGGAGAUGUGUCACCACUACGUGGCCCACGUGAAGCGGAGAGUUCAGGACGUCAUCAGUCCCAUCGUGUUUGAAGCUGCCUACAGCCUGGGUGAGCACGUGACCGGAGACGAGGAGAGGGAGCUGCCGCCUCUGACACCAGUGCUCCGCUGGAAAAAGGGACAGAAGAUUGCCCAGAAGAAUCAGACCGUCUUUGAAAGGAACUGCCGUUCAGAGGACUGUGCCACAGACCUGCAGCUUCGGGGUCAGCUGUUGCUCUCCAGUGUGGAUGAGAAAACCCCAUACCUAGCUUUGGGAGCUGUGAAGAAUAUCUCCCUAAACAUCUCGAUCUCAAACCUUGGGGAUGACGCCUACGAUGCCAACGUGUCCUUCAAUGUUUCCCGUGAGCUCUUCUUUAUCAACAUGUGGCAGAAGGAGGAAAUGGGCAUUUCCUGUGAACUGCUGGAAUCAGACUUCCUCAAAUGCAGCGUGGGAUUUCCUUUCAUGAGGUCCAAGUCAAAGUAUGAAUUCAGCGUGAUCUUUGACACCAGCCACGUGUCUGGGGAAGAGGAAGUUCUUAGCUUCAUCGUUACCGCUCAGAGUGGCAACGUGGAGCGCUCCGAGUCCCUGCAUGACAACACCCUCACGCUGACGGUGCCGCUGAUGCACGAGGUGGACACGUCCAUCACUGGAAUCAUGUCUCCAACCUCCUUUGUGUACGGCGAGUCUGUGGAUGCAUCCAACUUCAUUCAGCUGGAUGACACGGAGUGUCACUUUCAGCCCCUCAACAUCACCCUUCAGGUCUAUAAUACUGGGCCAAGCACCCUUCCUGGGUCAUCUGUCAGUAUCACUUUCCCCAAUCGACUGUCAUCUGGAGGUGCAGAAAUGUUUCAUGUCCAGGAGAUGAUGGUGGGCCAAGAGAAGGGAAACUGUUCUUUCCAAAAAAACCCAACCCCCUGCAUCAUCCCUCAAGAGCAAGAAAAUAUCUUCCAUACGAUAUUUGCCUUUUUCACAAAGUCUGGAAGAAAAGUCUUGGACUGUGAAAAACCAGGAAUCUCUUGCCUAACAAUGCACUGUAACCUUAGCGCGCUUGCUAAAGAAGAAAGUCGUACUAUAGACAUUUACAUGCUGCUGAACACAGAAAUAUUGAAGAAGGACAGUUCAUCUGUCAUCCAGUUCAUGACCCGUGCCAAGGUCAAGGUGGAUGCUGCCCUGAGGGUGGUGGAGAUAGCCAAUGGGAACCCAGAAGAGAUGACGGUGGUCUUCGAAGCCUUGCACAAUCUGGAGCCCCGUGGCUAUGUCGUGGGCUGGAUCAUUGCCAUAAGUCUGCUGGUGGGAAUACUCAUCUUCCUGCUGCUGGCUGUUCUGCUCUGGAAGGAAGAAAGAAGGCAGCAUCUCCCAAACUCAUUUGACUGUGAAUUUUAUUCGCAAAUCACUAUUUUACUCCCAAACGCCUUUGAAUAACUCUCGGUAACUAGCGUUCGCCAGCACACCGUUGGGAAAACACUUCACCAAAAGCACUUUAUAAGGAACAGUCAUGAGAGAACCUGCAGAAAGUCCGUGCAUUUUGAAAAGUGGCUCCACAAUAAUGCUCUUCCUAAAUCGGUCUAAUCUGAGGGGCUUUCCAAGCCUUCCCAGAUGGGCUUCUUUCGCCGAAGGUACAAAGAAAUUAUUGAAGCCGAGAAAAACCGGAAAGAGAACGAAGACAGUUGGGACUGGGUCCAGAAAAACCAGUGACCUGCCACACCAGUCACGUGACCCAAUCGGCCGCCUGUCGUCCUUGAUCUUUGUAUCUUCCAUAUUUGGAAGAAAGAAUCUUCUCCAGAUUUUUCGGAGGCCCCACUGAUGCUGUUCUCUUCCUCGUUUUUUUGUCAAGCCCAGGAGCCACCCUGAGGCAGCCGCUCUGGCCAGGUCACAUGACUGGAGCCCCACCUGUUUCUUCUUAAAGGUGAACUCCAAACUUGGGAAAGCAAGCUACAGAGGUGAACGAUAUUUAUGGAUGCAACGUGCGUGGUCAACCCUCAGGGGAAAACUGUUACCUAAAAGUAUUUUUAUAAAUAUAAGCCUUUUAUAUACUGAUUAUGUCUUUAUAUUUGUAUCGAUGUUUUAUUAUUUCUAUUAAAUAGUUAUAUAAUUCACUCAAGCACUGAUCUCCGGGCUGAAAUCUUGGAAGUACGUGUGCAUUCAUACAAAUCUGAUCGUACUUUGGGACUUGCUGUUAAAAAGAGACGUGCACAUAACAUAAUCUGAGGAGACCUCGUGUGAGCCACGAAGCAGGCGGCACCACACGUAUACUGGCUGAGGUCAGACCCCUAAGACAAUUCGAAUCUUUGUUGCCUGGAGUCGUUUGAAAUAAUGUGCUAAAGGACUCUAAGCGGUUUCACACAUAUGUUCCAUCGGAAGGCUUCCAACAGGACUUUGGAUGGAAAAACCUGCCCCUACCACAAGUCUGCUCGGCAUCACCUAUACGGACAUCACACUGUCCUUGCACUUGGAUUAAUGGACGAGAGCUUGGAGCAAGACCAUUGGGUCACCUGGCAAACCUCAGCAAGGCAUCUCAUCCUGGAUGUCAUGCAUCCGAGUCCGCUCGCCACGAGGACUAAAUCAGUGCCCACCAAGCAAAGACUUGUGUCAGAAUGCUGUGAUGUGUUGCCUUUUCGUGGUAAUUUGAGGUCAGAGGUCUCCACUUCCCCUCCCACUCUUGCUGCCCCAGCUGAUGGCCGUUGCAGAUUCCUUCCCAGAGAUGACCAUUCAACCUGUCCUUAGUUUUUAAAACAGCGUCUUAAGGGAGGUUCCCCGAAAGCAGACUCCAGUACAAAGAUUUGCCUGCAAGUAACCGAAUAAGGUGGUGUUCUGCCCGUAGGAGACGGCAGUAAGGGGGUGAGGGAAGCAGGACAGGGAAGGGGAGGAAGCCAGGCAAGGGUGCCAUUUCAGAGGACAUCCCGAGGAGGGUAGCUUCAGCCUGAUCCUGCAGGGAGCUCUGGAGGGUAAGUUGUGUCCCAGAGUCGCCCCAACCCGGGGCAAGGGAGCUGAUCUUUCAGAUUCUUGGGUGCAGGGGAGCUAUAAAUUUCCCACUCUCAGUUCCGGCUGGCAGAACGGCUCCGACAGCCCAGAGGCAGUCCUCUGCACGCGAGCUGCAAAUGCACCCCCAGCCCGGGGAGGCAUCCAGAGAUGAUGUGAAAAAGAAUGCAUUGGGACCUGGGCGCAGCGCUGGCACUUCCCUGCCCACUGCGCGCCGGAAUGCCGAGUUGCUGCCCUCGGUUCCAGUCUCCCUGUUUGCCGGUUGGUGUUUAUCAUCAGCCGCGCUGUGCCGCCUGGUUUUGAGUGCAAUGUGAUUUUCUAGAAGGGCAAUGAGAUGACGCGUGUAGUGUGCCCAGCACAGCGCCUGGACCACAGGGUACACUCAGUAACUGGCCGCAGCCCUGGGCGCGGUCGCCACAAACCUUCUGAUGAGAGAAAAAACACGCGGCUGAGAACAGGGUCUGACAAAGAGUCCUUAAUGGCUUAUUACAGCCCGCUGGAGCCCCAGGAGCAUAAAAGAUGUUAGCAAGUGGGACCGAAAGAAGAAACAAGACGGGGGAUCUUUCUUGUAGGGCCUUGUCUACUGGAAGCUAACAUGUUGGGGGGUCUGUGAACAUCGUUGCAAAGACGCAGAACUCCAGAGGAGACAGGCUUUUCCACGCACAUACUUGGCUAAUACUUGGAAAGAUAGCAAAGUUUAGGCAAAAUCAUGAGGAUGCCGGACAGUUGUGAACCUGGCGUGGAACAGAAGCGUCUUUUCGUUUCUUAUUAUGCAUUUGACUCUGAUGCAGAAAGACAAUGAACGUAUCAUGUGUCCCUUCCUGGUGAAUCUGGGAAUAGAUGACAAGGCCAGAGGGUCAAUGGCAUGAACUAGGCUGAUCUUAGAAUGAAGGCGGAGAUGUUGCUUCUGACAGGGACGGAGGCAGAGGUAGCUACCGGGCAGAUGCAGUCAAAGACACCAGUUGUCAGAGUUCCCCUGUGAGUUGUAUCAAAAGUAGUGAGGGCAGUUUUGAGGGGGUCUUGGUCACUCGCUUAAAGGACACUUUUAAGCUGUGCAUCAGGAGCUGCGUUAAGUGCUGGGGCUUCCCCAGAGAACUCCGCAGCACAUUCUGCCCGGAGAGCCAAACCCUCCCGCCAGAGGCGGACGGAGAGUCUCCUCUAUGAGACCCCACGUGCGGCUUUCCCUCAGUGGACUUUUGCUCGUAGUAUCAUGCCGUCCUUUAAUAAGCCACUGAAGAUUGUUAGGCGGUAGGCCUGGGUCAGCUCCCUCAGCGGCUUUGGACAAACGCAUUUACAGCCUGUAACCAGCUCCCUUACGAGGGGUGCAGACGCACUGGUGGCCACGUAGAGGAUGACUCCUCCUGUUCCUGUGGACGGUCUCGGAGCCAGGAUCUGUUUGCCCCUGGUCGAUUCUGAACGGCAGACCCACAUGGGCAGUCAUACGCUCAGGAGAUCACUGAGACUUCAUAAGGCAGCCACUCCAGGAAUCUGUCUGGAGAAGGACGGUGCCUCUGCACGUCUGAUGGUGCUGAGUAGCAGGUGGGGCGACAGCAGGAAGUUAGCUGCUUGACACGGUGAUAAAGAAGCCCAGCCCACCGUGAGCCCUCUCAAUAGGCUCUCAGGGGAAGCAGGCAGGGUGAAUGGCAUCUGUACAACUUCUCCAGAAUAUUCUUUUGAAAGUCCACAGUGCAUUCCGGUUUCGAACCCUCCUGCUUCUGUGGGUUCACUGUGGAGUCCUAUCAGAUAUCCUCUUACACAGCAUUAGUUCAAUCUGCUUCGGCUUUUAGUUAUGUAUUCAGUAUGGUUUUAACUGACGGGAAGAUUGAGACACUUUUUAAAUAUGAAAAAGGACCUUUGGAAAAAUUGAAAAUAAUGCCUGCUUUUCAAGAAUGGUUGACUUAUGCUCCGUUGAUAUGGGACUCAUGAGUUGGGGACAUCCCCAGAGUGAGUCCUAGACCUGUUCCCAAGAAAAGACCACAAGGUUUAGGAAUAAGGAGAUACUAGAAGAAGGGAGCGGGUCCAUUGGCUUGACGCUGACUGACAGGCACACGUCAGGAAUCCGCCCUCUCAGUCAGCUGGUACCAGCAUCAGCAUCACCAGGAGUAUUCUCACGUCUGGUGAAUGUUGUAGAAAAUCCACUAGAAAGUCGUCUUUCACCAAGUCACGCAUAGCCUACCAUCUUUGAGCCAAAGGCAAGGGAGUUAAGAACAAACAGAAAACCAGCAGGCCUCCCAGGAAUAUCUGGGACCUGUUUUCAAUGCAAAAGUAUAGUAGAUCCCCCAAGUGAUACAUGUGCUGUGGGCUACCUGUUAAAACCCUAGCAGAGUCCUUUUUUUAAAGGCUGUUCCGCUACUUUUAUUCUUGGAAAAGACAGUAUGGCCAGGGAAUGCAGUUACACAUAGGUUACAUAUGAAAUGUGCAUCUGGUGAAACCCACAUGCACCUGACCCAGACUUCCGGGAAUGUAGAGGCACUGCAAAGGAUUGUUAUGUCGGGGAAAUGGCCCUUCAGCAGACAAAAGGCAGAAAGUGAGUGUCAUUUCAGAAGUGCUCCGACGUACAGGGGUCUAAGCAAUGUGUCGUUCUGCUAUGUGGAGCAGUGGUACACACAGCGGAUAAUAUUUUCUGAAACAAAGAAUGGCUGAAGGGAAGAUACGGAUGCCACCAGGGCCAAGAUGAGCCUACUAGAAUGUCUUCCGAUUUUCAGCACAUUGGGAUAAUGAGCAAAUUUCCCACAUGGUGCAAUGCUUUAUAGCACAAUGGUCUAGAUUUCAGACUUUGUUGUUGUUGUUGUUGUUGUUUUUCCUAAUGUGCACGGCGUGACGGGCAGAGUGAGUUUAAAAGCUUUAAGAGUGAUUAAUUGCAUGGCAGACACCCACGCUAACUUCACUUCCAGAACUUGACUGAUGCAUCCAUGUACAUUUACGUUGAGGAAUUUUGGUGGGAGGGGUGUUCCUCCUCCCAAAGUCAUUAAAAGUGUAUUAAAGUUUAUGCAGUCACUUCUAAUUCACUUGCACUGUUAGGGGAAUGCAGGUUUACAAAAAUACAUGUUUGGAAUAAAAAAUGGCUGCAAAUGA